GACGAACGCUGGCGGCGUGCUUAACACAUGCAAGUCGAACGGAAAGGCCCUGCUUUUGCGCGGUGCUCGUGUGGCAAACGCGUGAGUAACACGUGUGUAACCCGCCCCUGAAUUUGGGAUAACAUCUCGAAAAUGGGGAUAUAACCGGAUAGGAGCUCCUGCAGCAUGGUGGGGGUUGGUAAGUUUCGGCGGUUGUGGAUGGAUUCGCGGCUUAUCAGCUUGUUGGUGAGGUAGUGGCUUACGAAGGCUUUGACGGGUAGCCGGCCUGAGAGGGUGGACGGGCACAAGGGUACUGCGGUACGGACCAGUAGGCUACGGUAGGCAGCAGGCGGGAGUAUGACGGAGUGGGGGGAAGCCUGAGACAGCGACGCCGCGAGCGGGAAGACGUGCUUCGGGGGGUAAACCGCUGUCGCCUGUAACGAAGCGGUAGUGACGGUAAUGGAUAAAGAAGCACCGGCUAACUACGUG
rnacentral:rRNA from 1 species